GACGUAGGGCGCGAGCGUUGUCCGGAUUUAUUGGGCGUAAAGAGCUCGUAGGCGGCUCGUUGCGUCGGCUGUGAAAACCCGCAGCUCAACUGUGGGCUUGCAGCUGAUACGGGCGGGCUGGGAUUCGGUAGGGGAGACUGGAAUUCCUGGUGUAGCGGUGGAAAUGACGCAGAUAUCAGGAGGAACACCGGUGGCGAAGGCGGGUCUCUGGGCCGAUAUCGACGCUGAGGAGCGAAAGCGUGGGGAGCGAACAGG
rnacentral:rRNA from 1 species